rnacentral:rRNA from 1 species
UACGUAGGGGGCAAGCGUUGUCCGGAAUUACUGGGCGUAAAGGGCUCGUAGGCGGCCAACUAAGUCAGACGUGAAAUCCCUCGGCUUAACCGGGGAACUGCAUCUGAUACUGGAUGGCUUGAGUUCGGGAGAGGGAUGUGGAAUUCCAGGUGUAGCGGUGAAAUGCGUAGAUAUCUGGAGGAACACCGGUGGCGAAGGCGGCAUCCUGGACCGACACUGACGCUGAUGAGCGAAAGCCAGGGGAGCAAACGGG